ACACACUGUUGGUCCACCUACCGAUCUCGGUGGAUGCGCGCCGUUCGUCCAACUACAAUGACCAGCGCGUUUAAUAUUGAAAUUUAUGAUUGGCUUCACAGCAGCGUUGCCGACGGCGGGGGAACUACAUACACAUAAGUACAUAUGUACGUGUAGUUACGUUUGGGUGUGCGUGUAACGUCAAAGUAUAGAGCAAAAAAAAUUGUUUAUAUACGUGUAUGUAAAAAAAUAAAAAAUAUAUGUACAUAUAUGUUCAUAUAUUUAUAAAGAAAAAAAUAAGAGCAAUAAAAAUAACAACAAAAAAAAUUCCAAUCAAAAUAAACAAAGCCGAGCAACAAACAACAGACGCACCGAAGGCAAAGAAACGACCCACAAUCGGCGUCAGGGAAAUACUGGAAAGAGAAUUGCUCAAGUGGUGAACUCAAGUGGUGAGAUAAACGACGAAGACGCGCGGUUUGUAGCGUUCGCUCGCGUCCGGCCAGGGGGCGGUGGGUGGUGACGCUGCGAAAGCGCAAGAAAGCGUAAAUAAAAACGAAGAAAUAGCAAAAAAAAAAAAAAAAAAAAUUGUAGCGAAAUCAGAUCAAAUCUAUGGAGUGUCAUUCAAUGGCAAUCGGCGGGGAAGGAUGUCAAGUUGGAGGGCAUUGGUGCGAGCACGCGCUAAUUGUUUGCAUUUUUUGUUUUGUAUGUAAUAUUUCCUACCUAUAAAUGUUGCUGAAAGUUUUU